UACGGAGGGUGCAAACGUUGCUCGGAAUCAUUGGGCGUAAAGCGCACGUAGGUGGCUUGUUAAGUCGGGUGUGAAAUCCCUGGGCUCAACCCAGGAAGUGCAUUCGAAACUGGCGAGCUUGAGUACUGAAGAGGGUCGCGGAAUUCCCGGUGUAGAGGUGAAAUUCGUAGAUAUCGGGAGGAACACCAGUGGCGAAGGCGGCGACCUGGGCAGAUACUGACACUGAGGUGCGAAAGCGUGGGGAGCAAACAGG
rnacentral:rRNA from 1 species